rnacentral:rRNA from 1 species
UACGAAGGGGGCUAGCGUUGCUCGGAAUUACUGGGCGUAAAGCGCACGUAGGCGGCUUUCUAAGUCGGGGGUGAAAUCCUGGAGCUCAACUCCAGAACUGCCUUCGAUACUGGAAAGCUCGAGUCCGGGAGAGGUGAGUGGAACUGCGAGUGUAGAGGUGAAAUUCGUAGAUAUUCGCAAGAACACCAGUGGCGAAGGCGGCUCACUGGCCCGGUACUGACGCUGAGGUGCGAAAGCGUGGGGAACAAACAGG